CGGCUCCAGCUGAAUGAGAAGCUCAUAGAGAGAGCAGAGCCCCCACCAGUAAGGAACCAGUACAGAUCUGACAUACUGGGAGCAGCACAGGGAGCCGCUCUCUCCGCACUCAGCCAACAUGAAUCUGAGUCUUUGGAUCCUGACACUCGCCCUGCUGGUUCUAACCUUCACUACAGCCUUUGGAGCUCCGCUAGCUGAAGGCUCGGAAAGGAAGGAUGAAGAGCAGAAUAUUCGCACCCUCGUAAGUUCGAACAAGAACACGCGCCACGUGCCUCAGCGUUCAGGAGCCUUAAGGAAACUCCGGCGCCAGAGACCACGCCUCUCUCACAAGGGGCCAAUGCCCUUCUAGGAAAGAUGGUUCGCCAAGAGACUCUCUCUGAAAUGAUCUGGUUUGUUUGGCCCUGGACCCCUUGGGUGAGACGAAAAGGUUCCAAAAGGAAAAAAAAAUUCCUAGCCUCCCGCCUCGUGCCUCUCGGAUCUGUCUGCGUCUGGAUGCCUUUCCCGUCUGAGGGAUUUGGGGACACUACUUGGGAGAGGAUUAUCUGACCCUGUCCUGGACAGCACAAGUCUGGCUGCAGCUUAAAUUUGGCCUUUGUUCCCUCAGGAAAGCUUGUUUUAAUUACUACUGGAUCAAGACUUAUAAUGGUUAUUGCCCCUAAGGUCUACCUUACCACUUUAUUCAUCUUGAGGAAACUGCAUAGAAUUGCAUUAGUCAAAAGCCAUCGACAUUCACUUUUUUGGGUUGUGUCCAUUUUACUCUACGAUAUUUCUUCCAUCUCCAAGUCAACUUGACUCACUGACAUAGUCGGAGUCUACCUGGUGGUGUUUCCGUCAACUUCGGGCUGAAUUGGCCCUACCAAUUUUCACCCCCCCAAUAUGUUUCGACCAUCGGCUUGCUCCUCAAAACAUCCUUCAAACUAGAUAAAUGAACUUUUCUUCAAAUUUAAUACACAAUAUUUCUUCCAUCUCCAAGUCAACUUGACUCACUGACAUAGUCGGAGUCUACCUGGUGCUGUGUCCAUCAACUUCGGACUGAAUUGGCCCCACCAGCUUUCACCCCUCCAAUAUGUUUCGUCCAUAGGCUUGCUCCUCAAAACGUCCUUCAAACCAGAUAAAUGAACUUUUCUUCAAAAUGUAAUACACGGACAAGAACGAUCUUUAUGAACUUUGUACAAAUUUUCGAAAAGGUUCUUUAUUAACAAACCACCAUUGGCCAUUGGCCUUGAGAACGCAAAGGCCUCAAAGUCUACCUUACCACUUUGUUCGCCUUGCCAUUGCUGAUGUUGAGGAAACUGCAUAGAUUUGCAUGACGUCAAAAGCCAUCGACAUUCACUUUUUUGGGUUGUGUCCAUUUUACUCUACAAUGUUUCUUCCAUCUCCAAGUCAACUUGACUCACUGACAUUGUCCGAGUCUACCUGGUGCUGUGUGCGUCAACUUUGGGCUGAAUUGGCCCCACCAACUUUCGCCCCCCCCCAAUAUGUUUUGUCCAUCGGCUUGCUCCUCAAAACAUCCUUCAAACCAGAUGAAUUUACUUUUCUUCAAAUUUAAUACACAAUAUUUCGUCCAUCUCCAAGUCAACUUGAUUCACUGACAUAGUCCGCUUCUACCUGGUGGUGUGUCCGUCAACUUCGGGCUGAACUGGCCCAACCAACUUUCCCCCCCCAAUAUGUUUUGUCCAUCGGCUUGCUCCUCAAAACAUCCUUCAAACCAGAUGAAUUUACUUUUCUUCAAAUUUAAUACACAAUAUUUCUUCCAUCUCCAGGUCAACUUGACUCACUGACAUAGUUGGAGUCUACCUGGUGGUGUGUCCAUCAACUUCGGACUGAAUUGGCCCCACCAACAUUCGCCCCACCCCAAAAUGUUUCGUCCAUCGGCUUGCUCCUCAAAACGUCCUUCAAACCAGAUAAAUUAACUUUUCUUCAAAUUUAAUACACAAUAUUUCUUCCAUCUCCAAUUCAACUUGACUCACUGACAUAGUCCGAGUCUACCUGGUGAAGUGUCCAUCAACUUCGGGCUGAAUUGGCCCCACCAACUUUCUCCCCCAUUAUGUUUCGUCCAAACCAGAUAAAUGAACUUUUCUUCAAAAUUUACAACACGGACAAGAACGAUCUUUAUGAACUUUGUACAAAUUUUCUAAUAAGGUUCUUUAUUACCAAACCACCAUUGGCCAUUGGCCUAGAGAACGCAAAGGCCUCAAGGUCCGUACAAUAUUAUCUAUAUAUAUCGAGUCUUUCAUAAUAGCACUUUCUAAACUGGGUCAUUUAAUGAAAAAAAAAAAAAA